GGCCGACUAGCUCAGCUGGUUAGAGCGUCGUGCUAAUAUUGCACUACUCCUAGUGUGGUUAACGCGAAGGUCUUGGGUUCGAUCCCCACGUUGGCCA